rnacentral:rRNA from 1 species
AAGGUGCUGCAUGGCUGUCGUCAGCUCGUGUCGUGAGAUGUUGGGUUAAGUCCCGCAACGAGCGCAACCCUUUUCAUUAGUUGCUACGAAAGGGCACUCUAAUGAGACUGCCGGUGACAAACCGGAGGAAGGUGGGGAUGACGUCAAGUCCUCAUGGCCCUUAUGGGUAGGGCUUCACACGUCAUACAAUGGUACAUACAGAGCGCCGCCGACCCGCGAGGGGGAGCUAAUCGCAGAAAGUGUAUCGUAGUCCGGAUUGUAGUCUGCAACUCGACUGCAUGAAGUUGGAAUCGCUAGUAAUCGCGGAUCAGCAUGUCGCGGUGAAUACGUUCCCGGGUCUUGUACACACCGCCCGUCGCACCAUGGGAGCGGGUUUUACCAGAAGUAGGUAGCUUAACCGCAAGGAGGGCGCUUACCACGGUAGGAUUCGUGACUGGGGUGAAGUCGUAACAAGGUAACC